rnacentral:hammerhead_ribozyme from 1 species
AUCCAAAUGACGAGUCCAAAAUUGGACGAAGUUAGCAUCUUGGAU